rnacentral:lncRNA from 1 species
CCCCCACUGGCGGCCAUCUUGGAUGACAGAUCGGCUACAAAGUAACAACACUUGGUCAGCACCUCAUAAGGAACAUUCAUGCCAUGUUUGGUUUUAUUCAAUUCAGUGGUUCUCUAAAAGAAGUCAUUUGUAUGCAUUUCCCAUAGGGUCCUAUGUUAAACUAAGUCCCCUGCUGGCGGCCAUCUUGGAUGAUGAAUCGGCUACAAAGUAACAACA